GGUAAUGUCUGGGAAACUGCCCGAUGGAGGGGGAUAACUACUGGAAACGGUAGCUAAUACCGCAUAACGUCGCAAGACCAAAGAGGGGACCUUCGGGCCUCUUGCCAUCGGAUGUGCCCAGAUGGGAUUAGCUAGUAGGUGGGGUAACGGCUCACCUAGGCGACGAUCCCUAGCUGGUCUGAGAGGAUGACCAGCCACACUGGAACUGAGACACGGUCCAG
rnacentral:rRNA from 1 species